CCUACGUGAGGCAGCAGUGGGGAAUAUUGCACAAUGGGGGAAACCCUGAUGCAGCGACGCCGCGUGAGUGAAGAAGUAAUUCGUUAUGUAAAGCUCUAUCAGCAGGGAAGAAAAUGACGGUACCUGAGUAAGAAGCCCCGGCUAACUACGUGCCAGCAGCCGCGGUAAUACGUAGGGGGCAAGCGUUAUCCGGAUUUACUGGGUGUAAAGGGAGCGUAGACGGCAGUGCAAGUCUGGCGUGAAAGGCGGGGGCUCAACCCCCGGACUUCUCUGGAAACUGUACGGCUGGAGUGCAGGAGAGGUAAGUGGAAUUCCUAGUGUAGCGGUGAAAUGCGUAGAUAUUAGGAGGAACACCAGUGGCGAAGGCGGCUUACUGGACUGUAACUGACGUUGAGGCUCGAAAGCGUGGGGAGCAAACAGGAUUAGAUACCCGAGUAGUC
rnacentral:rRNA from 1 species